rnacentral:ncRNA from 2 species
AGCAGAGUAAGAAAACAAGCGUUAAGUGUUUAGAACACGGGGAGUUGGUUCUAAAACGAAAAGGAAACGAAACUUGCGAUUGGUUUUCUGCAUCCCGCUGUU